rnacentral:lncRNA from 1 species
GGACUCACUUCCGUGGUUCUUUCCCUCUCCUAAAAUGGUGCCGGCGGCGCUUUCUUCCCUCUUCUACUAUUCACUCACAUCCGGAGCUCGAAGCAGGGACUGCCCACCCACCCGAGCACAGGGCACAGGCGCUGGGCUUGCUGCGAUCUCCUGCCUGUCCUGGGGGCUCUUUUCAAAAACCUCUUGCCUCAGCCCCAACGAGGUCAUCGUCUCUUCCCGGUACAAUGUAUAAUUUAUUACCUUUCUUAAGAUAGCUCCUUUUUAGGUCCCAAAAUAAUCUGCCAGGUGGUCAUGGCCAAUAGGCUUUACCUUGAUGCUGCUAAUGACCUACCAUGCUAAAUUUUACCAAAGACUAAAGAAAAAUGCAUUUUAAGAACAGAGGCUAAUUUGGAAGCUGUCUUACAUAUGGAAAGCUUUCCUUUUCCAGACUUUAGAAGUUUUACGCAUGCACACAUUUAAAAAAGGUGUUUGAUGAAUUAAUGGUUAAAAAGAUAAACAUAAAGGUAAAGGGACCCCUGACCAUUAGGUCCAGUUGUGGCCGACUCUGGGGUUGCGGCGCUCAUCUCGCUUUAUUGGCCCAGGGAGCUGGCAUACAGCUUCCAGGUCAUGUGGCCAGCAUGACUAAGCCGCUUCUGGCAAACCAGAGCAGCUCACGGAAACGCCUUUUACCUUCCCGCCGGAGUGGUACCUAUUUAUCUACUUGCACUUUGACGUGCUUUCAAACUGCUAGGUUGGCAUACAGAGCUGUAAAAGCAUUAUUUUUAAAAAAGUGAACAGCCUAUAUUAAGUAUGGGGAAAGGGUAAGGUCAACAAUUGAACCAAACUUUAAUUUUCUGGUAUUUUUAGCAGUCAUUCAAAUUACAGAACUAGGAUUCUACGACAGCAGCUCAUGCCACAGCUUUGGAAUCCAUUGUCAUUUCUCAGAAUAUAGGAAGCUGCCUUAUAUCAGAACCAUUAGUCCAUCUAGAUCAAAAUUGCCAACACUGGCAUAAGCUCUCCAGGCAAAAAUCAUUCCCAGUCCCAAGAGGCCCAGGUGGCCUCAGUAGCACAGAGAGCCUUCUGCCAGCUUCAGUUUGUGGCCCAGCUACACCCCUAUCUGCACAGGGAUAGCCUCACUUCUGUGGCCUAUACUCUGGUACCCUCUAGGUUGAUUUACUGCAACAUGUUAUACAUAAUUCUGUCUUUGAAGACGGUUUGGAAACUUCAGCUGGUGCAAUGGCCAGAUUGCUCACCAGAACAAGAUGGUUUGAGCAUAUAACACCAAUCCUGGCACAGUUGCACUGACUACUGAUUAGUUUCCGGGCCCAAUUCAAAGUGCUAAUGUUGAGCCUUACACGGCUCAGGACCCUUAAGGGCCACUUCUCCCCAUACAAACUGAUCCAGACCUGCACCGUUCUAGUCUCUGAGGCCCUUCUCUAUGCCACUCCUCCCAGAAAGAUUUUGAGGGUGGCAACAAGAGAAUGGACCUUUUCUAUGGUGGGUCCCUGAUAUGGAAUGCUUUCCCCAGAGAAGCUCACCUGGUGCUAAUAUAAGAAUUAGAGACCCAAGGUGUGUGUGUGUAUAUAUAUAGUUCUUCAUUGUUUCACUGUUAACUGCAUUUCACCUCUUGGAUAGAAUGCAGAAAGGGAAAUAUUUGUUUUCUGUGUGAGGUUCAUGUGGCCUGCAUUUUACAACCUUAUGCUCUCUAGGCCAUAAACAAGAAACCCUAUCUACCCUGAAAAUGGUACAAAUGGUCAUUAAGGAUGUUGUUCUCAGUUCUUUUUUUUUUCCAGGUGUUACUCAAGGAUACGCAGUACCUGUAACUCUUUUUUUGUAGUUAAAAAUGUGGCACUUACUGUAACAACUUCGUGGUGAGUACAUGCACCUAUUUUUAUAGAAAAAAAGCACUGGUUCUCAUUAGCAUCAAAGUGUAAAUCCAAGUAUCUCCUUGAAACUUUUUGAGAUGGCUCAGGAAUGAAGGGAAGUGAAAUAGGGACUGGAAUGUAAACAAUACUGAUGAAGACCUGGUUGCCAGGGCAAUGGUGACAGAAGUGGGACAUUUGAGGCCAAAGGCACAUGUAGGCCACUGCAAGGUUAUUGUGGGGGUGAGGAUACCAAUAAGGAGCCAUGUGUGCUUUACUUCUCAUGACCUGUAGCCUUUCCUGUUGUAUGUAGAAGGAUGUUUGCUUUAAGAAUGUUUAGAUGUUUUUUAUGGCUCUUUGUGUGCUGCCUGUAUAAGCCUUGUUCUAAUUCUCCUCAUGGCAGAGGACAACCACGUUAAGUUGAUCUCUGCCCUAUUGCAAUAGUUACAAUAAACAUGGAGUCCCUCCUGGAUGCUGGACUUGAGUUCAUUUCCUUGGCUCCAUGUUUGAUUUAAAGUGUGGUUCCGCUCCUGGGUAGCAAACAAAGUGGUGUAGACAUCAUUGCAUGUCUUUAGACAUCAGGUAAAAACAUUCCGGUUUACCAAAGUUUAUGGCUAGUAAAUAAUCUAUGGCCUGUGAAAGUGCAAGAAAGGACUGUUAUGGUUCUUUACUAUUAGACUGUUUGUCAGUACGCUUCUUACUAUGUUUUAAUUUUAUAAAACUAUGUUUUAAGGACGCGCUGUGGGUUAAACCACAGAGCCUAGGACUUGCCAAUCAGAAGGUCGGAGGUUCGAAUCCCCGUUACGGGGUGAGCUCCCGUUGCUUGGUCCCUGCUCCUGCCAACCUAGCAGUUCGAAAGCACGUCAAAGUGCAAGUAGAUAAAUAGGUACCGCUCUGGCGGGAAG